UCAUGAUGAUAAUGAUGAUGAUGAUGAUGAUGAUGAUGACCUUCAUCAUCAUCAUCAUCAUCAUCUUCCUCA
rnacentral:pre_miRNA from 1 species